CCUACGGGUGGCAGCAGUGAGGAAUAUUGCACAAUGGGCGAAAGCCUGAUGCAGCAACGCCGCGUGAGCGAUGAAGGCCUUCGGGUCGUAAAGCUCUGUCCUCAAGGAAGAUAAUGACGGUACUUGAGGAGGAAGCCCCGGCCAACUACGUGCCAGCAGCCGCGGUAAUACGUAGGGGGCUAGCGUUAUCCGGAAUUACUGGGCGUAAAGGGGGCGUAGGUGGUUUCUUAAGUCAGGGGUGAAGGGCUACGGCUCAACCGUAGUAAGCCUUUGAAACGGGGGAACUUGGGUGGAGGGGAGGAGAGUGGAAUUCCUGGUGUGGCGGUGAAAUGCGUGGAUAUUAGGAGGAACACCAGUUGCGAGGGCGGCUCUCUGGACUGUAACUGACACUGAGUCACGAAAGCGUGGGGAGCAAACAGGAUUAGAUACCCCUGUAUC
rnacentral:rRNA from 1 species